GAUGAACGCUAGCGGUAGGCCUAACACAUGCAAGCCGAGCGGUAUUGUUUCUUCGGAAAUGAGAGAGCGGCGUACGGGUGCGUAACACGUGUGCAACCUGCCUUUAUCUGGGGGAUAGCCUUUCGAAAGGAAGAUUAAUACUCCAUAAUAUAUUGAACGGCAUCGUUUAAUAUUGAAAGCUCCGGCGGAUAGAGAUGGGCACGCGCAAGAUUAGCUAGUUGGUGAGGUAACGGCUCACCAAGGCGAUGAUCUUUAGGGGGCCUGAGAGGGUGAUCCCCCACACUGGUACUGAGACACGGACCAGACUCCUACGGGAGGCAGCAGUGAGGAAUAUUGGUCAAUGGGUGCAAGCCUGAACCAGCCAUCCCGCGUGAAGGACGACUGCCCUAUGGGUUGUAAACUUCUUUUGUAUAGGGAUAAACCUACCCUCGAGAGGGUAGCUGAAGGUACUAUACGAAUAAGCACCGGCUAACUCCGUG
rnacentral:rRNA from 1 species